UACAGAGGUCCCAAGCGUUGUUCGGAUUCACUGGGCGUAAAGGGUGCGUAGGUGGCGGAACAAGUCGGAUGUGAAAUCUCCAGGCUUAACCUGGAAACUGCAUUGGAAACUGUUUCGCUCGAGGGUUUGAGGGGGGACUGGAAUACUUGGUGUAGCAGUGAAAUGCGUAGAUAUCAAGUGGAACACCAGUGGCGAAGGCGAGUCCCUGGAAAAUACCUGACACUGAGGCACGAAAGCUAGGGGAGCAAACAGG
rnacentral:rRNA from 1 species